CCUAAAACCUAAACUCUCUCAUUUUCUCCCUCAGCCGCGUCCUUCUCUCUCUCUCCCCGACCUCACUCUCUCGUCCUCUCCCUCUGCCAUCGCCGGAACCACAUCGUCCGGCCACCGCCUCACAUCACCGCUACCACCAAUCGAAGCACCACCUCAAUCCGACCUAAACCCAUAAGAGAUCGACUCCAUGCAUCGAACCCAACCUCUCUAUUCCGCUCUCCUUCUCUCUGCCAUAGCCGGGAAACCUAACAUCCGGUCACCACCUCAUGUCACCGCCACCAUCCUUCGAACUAGCAUCCAAAUCUAACCAAAGCCCAACUGAAAUCACCAUCAAGCAUCGUCGUUAAUCUCCACAGAUGACCACCAUGGUCCUGCCGGGUUGGCCGGCCAGAGCUUCCAUCUCCGACCAUCAUUUCAACACACCGCCGACACCAACCUACCCAGACCAAACCGAGCAUUGAAACCCCAAAGUUUCGCUGACGGUCGACGCCGGACGACUACCGCACGCACUGUCACCGGAGUAUUGCCUCUGCAUGAUUUCGUUUUCCGGUCUCCAGUCCAAACUGAGCAAAACCACCAUCAAGAAUCGAAUCAGCGCCUUGUCAAAUGCCAAAACCCUAGGGCCCCGACCUCUAACUCCGACCAGAGCCACCUCGUCCGCUGCACGCGCGUGAGAAAUUUCUGGCUCCGCCGCUCACGGCUAUUGGAGGUUAAGACCGCCUCUAUUAGGUAAUCUUCACGUUUCCCCUUUGAUUGGAGCUUCUGCUUUGACGUGAAACAAAAUCCCUAACUCUGUCAUUUAUUUGGGAUUGUGUGAGGUGUUGUGGGAUCUGCGUUUUUGAAGCUGUGGAGAAGAAACGAGCUACUGGGUCAGUUUCGAUUAAAAUAGAUUAAGAGGUCUAAAUGGAUUAAUGGCGGUGGAAAAAGCAGCCGGCCUGAAUCGAAUCCUUGUUUGGAAAAGAAGAGUGGUAAGGGCCUGUUACUCUGAAUUGUGAAAUUGAUGGUGUUCGGUUACUGAUUGUUGUAAAUGGGUUUGUUGGAGUUAUUUUAGGAAGUGAAGUUAAAAAUUGCAGAAAAUUGUUGUUGCUGUUGCUUCAUGAAGGGAAAAGAGUGAAAAUGGUGAUAGGAUGGUUUAAACCUUUGGACUUGGGCGUAUGCACAUGGAUUUGGACAAAUGAUCGAAAGUUGGGAACAAACCCGAAUGUGGACGAGCACUCCAUAUCCAGUGUGCAGGUUUCGAGCAUGUGGUCGGGAAGCGUACAGGGGAGGCACAUGGCCCGGCUUGGCGUAUUUCUCUUUGGUUUUAUCAAAAGGAAGGGUUUGGUCCCUUAUCGGAUUUUGAAGUAACUUAGUCAUUUAUUUUCUUACUAAUUUAUUUGUUUAUUUGUUUUCUAUUCGCUCAUCUACAAAAUUUCGAGAGACCCGUAACCCUGGGGCGCGUCUCUCAUACUUGUUUUUACUUCGUGAUUCGUUAUUUCCCAUAUUGGGCUCCUAACGUAAGCCCAAAUCUUUUAGCUCACUUUAAAUUCCGCUUGCGAAAAUAUGUUGUUCGGUUGCUAGAAUGUUUUGUGACUUUUGUCCAA